rnacentral:rRNA from 1 species
UACGAAGGGGGCUAGCGUUGUUCGGAAUUACUGGGCGUAAAGCGCGCGCAGGCGGUCUUCCAAGUCAGUGGUGAAAGCCCGGAGCUCAACUCCGGAACUGCCAUUGAAACUGUGAGACUAGAGUACGAGAGAGGUGAGUGGAAUUCCCAGUGUAGAGGUGAAAUUCGUAGAUAUUCGGCGGAACACCAGUGGCGAAGGCGACUCACUGGCCCGAUUCUGACGCUGAGGUGCGAAAGCGUGGGGAGCAAACAGG